UAGCCGUAAACGAUACUCGCUAGGUGUCGGCCACGGUGCGACCGUUGUCGGUGCCGUAGGGAAGCCGUGAAGCGAGCCACCUGGGAAGUACGGCCGCAAGGCUGAGACUUAAAGGAAUUGGCGGGGGAGCACCACAACGGGUGGAGCUUGCGGUUUAAUUGGACUCAACGCCGGGAAGCUCACCGGAUAAGACAGCGGAAUGAUUGCCGGGCUGAAGACCCUGCAUGACCAGCUGAGAGGUGGUGCAUGGCGUAGUCGUGU
rnacentral:rRNA from 1 species